UACAAUUAAAUUUCACAAAAU
rnacentral:piRNA from 1 species